AACGAACGCUGGCGGCGCGCCUAAUACAUGCAAGUCGAGCGAGAAGACGUAGCAAUACGUUUGUAAAGCGGCGAACGGGUGAGGAAUACAUGGGUAACCUACCCUCGAGUGGGGAAUAACUAGCCGAAAGGUUAGCUAAUACCGCGUACGCUCCUUGGACUUCGGUUCAGGGAGGAAAGCGAUACCGUGGGUAUCGCGCUCUUGGAUGGGCUCAUGUCCUAUCAGCUUGUUGGUGAGGUAACGGCUCACCAAGGCUUCGACGGGUAGCUGGUCUGAGAGGACGAUCAGCCACACUGGCACUGCGACACGGGCCAGACUCCUACGGGAGGCAGCAGUAAGGAAUAUUGCGCAAUGGGCGAAAGCCUGACGCAGCGACGCCGCGUGGGGAUGAAGG
rnacentral:rRNA from 1 species